UGUGAAUGAUGAAAAAUAUUUUACCUGAACUCACUGAGGGUAAAAACUGAUUUAAUGAGCCUGACAC
ensembl:snoRNA SNORD57 small nucleolar RNA SNORD57